rnacentral:lncRNA from 1 species
GCGUUUUUAACACAAAUGACACUUACUAUAUGUAUAAGUAAUUGAUGUUUACAAACAACUUAGAUGGAUAAUUCAACCUUUUCUUCUCAAGAACACUAUGGAGAAACCCUCUCUUGUCUCCAACUCCAUGACAUUAUUACAUGCAGAGUUAAUUUGCUUCUCAGUUCUCUUUGUAUACUAGAUUUAUAUCCUUCUGCACAAUGCCUUGGCAAGGUAAGGUCUUGCUGCAGUUGAAUAUUAUGGUCAUUUUUGUUGCACUUGUGCCUGUGAUGUUCUUGUAGACUAUGUUUCUUAUUUGGACAGCUGAAUUCUGCAAGCCAUAGGAUGGAGAAUAAUUGUGUUGAAGGCAGACAAAUGAAGACUUGUGAUUGAGUUUGAAGUUGAUGAUUAGGGUUUACCUGUUCAUUGCAUGGAGUUUCUUGAUCACAGUAGUUUUGGUCUAUGAUUAUGGGGUUGCUCACAUUUUCCAUCUUAAUGUCUUGAAAUACUAUGUUUUCAGCAUACCCUGAUCCUCCCUACAUCAUAACAAGAAAGAAAGAAAGAAAAAAAAAAAAUUAGUUUUGGGUGUUUAAAAAUAUAAAUAGAAUGAUGGAAUUUUCGAAUUAAUUGCUUUUACAACCGAUAUGAUAAUAUAUGUGAAUUAAUAUAUAUAUGUAUUUUAAUCAAAACCAUGUACAUACAUGAGCAAAAAUUUUUAAAAAAUAUGAGAUUUUAAUGUGGUUCAAUGAUGAAUGCAAUUCUUAUGUCCGUGGAGUGUACCAACACUCAACAAUCCACUUAUCAAAGGAAGAAAAAGGAGUACAAUGGUGAAGUUCCUAGAAAAAAACACCUAAUUACAACGGCACUUUUUGAAGAACUAAAAUCCUAAAACAUAAAAGGUCAGGGUUAAAUGUAAAAUAAAGACAAACUCGUCAUUCAUUAUAUAAAAUCCUACGAAUUGAUUGGGACUGAUUCAUGUUUCACAAUUCAACAAGAACACAAACAUAUAUUUAACAGUAUUAUCUUUUAAAUGAUUUUGUAGAUUAUGAAUAAGUUAUAUGAAUAACUAUUUUUAAAUGGGAAUAUGGUAUAUAAACUUUGGAUUUUAUACAUAUUUACUUACCAUGAGAAAAAACUUUUUUUCUUUUUUUUUUUUUUUUUUUCUCACACACAUUUGUUUAGCCUAUAUGAUUAAGUUAUAUAGGAUACCUAAGAAAUUAAGGAUGGUUGAAAACCAAGUCUUACCUGCCAAGUCUUUAUUCUCACUCCAUUAGUGGUUCCUAUGAGUUUUGCCGUAUUCACCAUCACAUUUGAAACACGAGCUUCUGACUUCCCUUUUCCUAAGCUCCCAAUACUUAUCAAAAUAUGAAGUGGGUAAGGAAAAGGUAGUUGAAUUGAACCAUGCUUAUCAAAAUAUUCUUCAAAAAUAGAACAUUCUAGGGUUUUUCUAGUUUUUUAUUUUUAUUUUCGCAAUCAAACUUUUUCACAAACUAUUCUGGGGUAUGAUAGGAUAUAAUAUUCCAGAAAAAUCUUUUGCUUGCCCUCCUUGGAACUAGUUGAGUAUAGAGUUUGUUCAAGUAGAGAUAUGGAACCUGAUUCCAUGACCUGGUCCACAGGUUACAUCUAUGGCUUCAAUGUUUGUUGAUCCAUUUACAAUGGAAAUGCAGUCAUCACCUUCAAACAAUAAAACAAAAGCAUCUAAGUCUCAUGCAAGAUCAGAACUCCUCUGAAUUUAAUUAUUUUUUCUCUUGGUUUACCUGUUUUGAUUACAGUUUUAAUGAUCUGAACAUUUUCGGACCGUGUCACAUGAAUUCCAUCAGUGUUAGGGCUCUCCUCUGAUGAAGUCACCAUGAUAUUAGAAGCUUGAACAUUCAUAGAUUCCUCAAAGCUAACAUGCAUUUGCUGGGCAUCCUGUACGUUGAGGCCAUACACUUUCAAGUUGUCGCAUUGGACGAAGGAUACCGCCUGUAAACCAAAGGUGUUCGAUAAAAAAUCUGUAUAUCUCCAUCCUCAUACAUAAAACUCCUAUAGAAUAAUACUUUUAUGACUAAGAGAAGUUAUGAUCUUUAUCGAAGUUAUUGAUUUAAAGAGAGCAUUAUGUUUCUACUGUAUAAUACUUAUUCAUCUUAUUAUUUUAUGCUAAGUAAAACUUCACGAGACGAAGAUUGAGGAUCAAUGGACUUACUGUUGGUGCAUUGGUGCAAGGCUGCAUGUAAAAGUACUAGAAGUUAGUCCUUUAUUAACACGAGUAGAAUUCAAUUCAAAGGAUUUUUCAUACUUGAGUAAUGUUGAUUUUGCAUGAGUUUUUCCACCAUAUCUUUCCAUUGCCAUCGAUGGUUCCUUGACCUUCUACUUGGAAGUUUUUUAUGUUGUAGAACAAGAGCCAUCGGCUCCUAUCCUUCGCAUAGUCUGAAGGAUCUUCAGAAGCCUUGAUCGUUCCCAGGAUCUAGUACGUUUAAGCAUGAGAGAUUUUGAGUUUUUGGGUGAUGGAAGUACAAAAUUUGAUCAUACUUGGUGUAAAAUUAACUAGAACUCACCUUCAACUUUACAGAAUCAGAUUUGCAAGGGCCUGAAAAUGUAAUUGGCUUAACAUGAUACUUCUUAUUCUGAGGGACAACAAGCACAGCUGUGUUGGAAGAACAAGUCUCCUCCCAAGCUGUCUUGAAUGCCUAAAACCCCAAGAAAAUGGAUCAUAAUUCAAUCAAACAGUUGAAAAAACUACAUCAAUUACUGUAUCCACUGUUGAUGGUACCUCAGUAUCAUCUGUUACUCCAUCACCUUUAGCUCCAAAAUCAUCGACAUUUACCUCUCCCAGUGAAGUUGCAGGAGUACCCAGCUGAUCAUACCUUGUGGAAUCGACGAUUUCAGCUUCGUACUCCAUCUGCAGGUUCGCGAAACUUGCCUCAAAGUCAACGGCCCGGUCCUUAUCAAUGGUGCCAAAAAAUGGGGGGUAGGCACUUGGGCCAGGUGUUCCAUCAAGAAAAUUAGCAAGAUUGUCAUCCUGGAAACUGCUAAAACAUGAAGGAGAAGAGAUCAAAGUGAAGAAAAGUGAGAGAAAAAGACUUUGUGGAAGCAUUUUGUGAGAAAUCAAAGCUUGGUAUAAUGGUGUAAUGAGAGUGAACAUGCUAUGUCAUUGUGGGCUUAGAGGCUUACAUAUUUAUAGAAAAAGUGAAUGGAAGUUGGACUUGGACAAGCAAUUGGAUGAUUGAGAAUGAUUUUUCAUGAGCAGAGGUACAGAUUGAGGUAUAAGAGAUUGAGACGAAAGGGUUACUUUCUACAAAUACCUAAACGUUGGAUAUUGUAUAUAUAUUCUUAAUUUUAUAAGAUUCAAAACACUGCAUAAUGAAAAACAAUUUAAUUCAUAUUCUAUUUUUUUAAUCAGUAACAAAGGUGAUAUUUAUUUUUUCAAUUGAAAUUUGAAAAAAAUAAAAUAAAAAAUCUAUUCUAAAAUAUUCAAGCCUUAAUAAACCUUAAAAUUUCUUUUCUCAAGCGAAGAUUAAUAAAUAUCCUUGAAUCUACAAUAUAACUUAUAUGAAAAUACCAUUAAUAGGAGAAAUAACCCAUAUUCGAUCAAGUCUUAUAUAUACACUAACAUAAUUGAUAAUAUACUCUACAAUUCACAUCUCUUUGCUACAUCAAUUUUCAAAUACAAUUAUGGAUCAUGAAAUAUCAUUCUUACCAUAUGUAGUGUGGUAUGAAAUGAUAAUUCUCUUUUUUGGUUACUCCUUUUUUAUAUAUAUCCACAUGGGAAAAUUCUUAGACAUAUGCCUAAUUGCAAUGAAGAUGAUCCAUCUUCCAAUUAGCAAAACUGCAAGAAUUUCUUCACGAAAUGACUUAUAGAAAGUAUACUUGAAAAAAAAUAAAAAAAAUACAAAUGAGCAUUGUUCAAAUGUAUAUAGACUUUAACCUAUUAGUAUUGGCAUGCAUGGGUCAAACAACCAUGGACAGAUCUAGAAUAAUGGGUAUUUCCCAUUUUGAUUGUGUAAGUUUUGGGCAAAAGAAAAAGGGUGUUAAGCUAAUUACCAAUUUUAUCUCAUGCAUAUGUCUAUCACUAUCACAUAACUAAUAGAACCAUGCUGAUCACAAUCAACUUGGUAGUCAUCACCAAAUGCCAAAAAUAUGGAUCCCCAACCCACUCAUAUGAGAUUUGGAUGUUUAUUUAGAUAGAUUAACCUUUCUCUAACAUGUUAAAUUUGGAUAGAUUAAACCCAAUUAUGAAUCAAAAUUAGUUUUUCAAAAUAUGUUGAGUUCUUUUAGUAUUUUAAGCUCACCAGCUAAUACUAGUUUUUCCUAUCAUAUUCAAACAAUAAAUAAGUACCUUAAUAGUAGAAAAGAUUAAAUGAAAAUUUCAAAAGAAUUAAAAAAUGGUAAGAAAAAUAGUUAGAAAAUUUUCAAUAAUUUCAAUAAAUUUUAAAGGAAAAAACAUAAUUUUUUGUUUUAAAGAAUUCAAUAAUGAAAAAUGUGACCAAUCAACUUAAUUUUUUAAAUCCUCUAAGGGUGAGGCUUGUAUGACAUGUUUUAUAGGUUGUCAUUUUAAUGAAACUCUUGUCUCAUUAAUCAUACAACAAUGAUGAUAAAUAAUGUUAAUACUAUAUCAGCUAAUGAGAACCUGAUUAGGGGAUCUAGAAGAGCUCACACUAUGUUACUAGUAUCUUUUGAUUCAAUGUAAACGAUAUUUUAUAUUUUGUUAGAUCCAAAAGAAUCUUGUGUGAUCAACUUGAUCAUCUAGGGUAAAUAAUGAUGCAUCAACUCAUUAUAAAGUCAUAUAGACUUGCGUUAUAAAAUAAGAAGUUUUUACUUAGUGAUAGACCUAUCUAUAUACUUGAAAGGUAGUAUGACAUGUUGUACAAAUUAUCAUUUUGAUGAAAUAAUUUUCUGGUUGUUAGGCAGAAGUUGAUUUCUAGAAGAACGACAUAAAAUUCCUUAGGUUUUUUUUUCCUUAUGAUACAAGUGAAUGUGAUUUGAUAUCCUUGAAGGAUAAUUAAUCAACACAAUAAUAAACAGAUGCGCACCUAAAGCAUUGUAAAAUAGUUGAAACAAACAAUAAUAUAUAUCCUAGUAGGAUAAGGAUUUAUUAUAAUGAUAAAUGAAAUCGAGGCAUGCCUAAAGCGUGAUAGACUUAUCAGCUCAAAUGAUGUAAGUCCCUAGAAGAGGAAAACUCGUGAAAAACUUGACACUCUCAUAGAGGCCAUAAAAAUAAAUGAUUAGUCUAAAAUUGAUGAAUGUAGAGUCCCUAGAGAGACACAAAUAACACAGGUAGCUCUUGAAGAUGCAUGCAUAUAUUGAACAAGUAGGCCUUAAAGAGGUGCAAAUGGAAUGAAUAGCCCUUAGAGAGACACAAAUAUCUAAAAAGAUUUCUAUUAGUUAUGUACAUGACAUGAGAAAGAUGAUAUGAACAUAAUGUUUGUAUUCAUCUUGCUUCUAGAUAGUUGUUGAUAUCAUGAGGAAUGAUAAAGAUUUCAAAUCAUGAAUUGUAUAAGAAUCUUGACAUAGAAAUAAUUGGCCAAAAUAGAAAGAUGUAAACAAACAAAAGAUGUUGAUCUUAUUGAAUAUAAAUGGAGCUAAAGUCUAACAUUUGAAGAUGUAAAAAUUAUUGGAUACCAAUGAGAAAUUAUACAAAAGUGUAUUUGAGAUAAUGCAAAAAUUGUAGCAUAAGGUGUAUUUAGAAACCUUAUAUUGACUCUUGUAAUGGCUCAAUCAUAUUCCUAACAAUCAAGAUUGAUCAUCCUUGAAGGAUUUAAGAUGCACUAUAUAAUAUAUAUGGAUCUAUAGAUAUGUUCAAAUCCUUUAAGGAUUCAAACUACAUGAAGCAAUAAAGUCCUUAAAGGAUAAUGUUGAAGCAAAUACAUCCCUAAAGGAUAUAAGAUACUUGAAGCACAUAAUUUGAAACAUUGUGUAUUCAAGAGGCUACAAAAACCCUUGUAUGGAUUAAGAAACCCAAAUGCAUGUGUUACAAUCAUCUUAUUGAAUAUUUGUUGAGGGAAGAAUAUGUGUAUAAUUUUAUUUAUCCAUGCAUGUUCAUUAAGAAAUUAUCAAUUGGAAUUGCAAUUGUUGUAGUAUAUACAAACAAUAUGCAUCUUUCUAAAACUCUUGAAAAGCUCAUAAGAAUAGUUGACUACUUGCAAAGAAAGUUUGAAAUGAAAGAUCUUAACAAAAUUUUUCUUGACCUGUAGAUUGAGUACUUACUAAAUAGAGUGUUUUUUUAUUAAUUAACAUAUAUAGAAAAAAAUCUUAAAGCACUUUUAGAUAGACAAAUGGUAUGCAUUAAGUUCCCCAUCCUUGGUCGUUCACUUGAAGUGAACAAGGAUCUAUUUCAUCCUGAGGAAGAUAAUGAAGAUUUGCUUGGUCCAAAAGUACUAUAUCUCAAUGCAAAUUGGUGUUCUACAGUAACUCAAAGACAUUGGAAUGAAAUCAACAUAUAUUGUGUUAUUUUCUUGGAACCACGAAUAUGAGUUUAUUUUAUGUAAAAAGAGUAUAAUCACAAUUCUUAGAUACACAAAUGUCGAUUACCUUUCGAAUCCUUACAAAGCUAGGUCUCAAAUAGGAUAUAUGUUUACUUGUAGUGAUAUUACAAUAUCAUUAUGAUCAGUAAAGCAGAGCAUGGUAGCUACUUCUUCAAUUCAUUUAAUAAUACUUGCAAUUCAUGAAGCAAGUCAAGAAUGUGAGUGGUUGAGAUCUAUAAUCCAAUCUAUUUGAGAAUCAUGAAAACUAGCUAUCUUCUAUUAAAUAUAAUUUGAUAAUGCUAUAUGAAGAUAAUGUUGCAUCAUGUAUUGAAGAAAUUAAAGAAUGAUAUAUAUUAAGGGUGAUAUAACUAAGCAUAUGUUGCUCAAGUUCUUUUACACCAUGAGCUCCAAAGGAGGGGUGAAAUUAAUGUAAUACUCAAGAAACUCAUAUAUAAUAUUAUGAUGCAACCAACUCAAAGAUCUUCAUGCUGAGCAACUAAAGAAGUUAUAAUCAUGUCAACAUGAUUAUACUUUUGGGAUACACUGACUGGAAAAAGUAUAUUCAUUGACUGGAAAAAGUAUAAUCAUGCAACAGUCAAGAAACUCAUAUAUAAUAUUGGGAUGCGUCGACUCAAUGAUCUUCAUACUGACCUACUAGAGAAAGUAUAAUCACAUUAAGAUGAGAGAGAGUAGAUUGAUAAGGAUAUCACUAUACUAUACUCUUUUUCCCUUUAUUUAGGUUUUAUCUCAUUGAGUUUUACUAGCAAGGAUUUUAAUAUGGUAGUUGUAGUAGUCCAAAAGCAUAUUAUACUUUUAUUCCUUCACUAGUUGUUUACUUAUAGGGUUUUUUUUUUCCUAGUAAAAUUUUAAUAAGACAUACUCAAAGAAUGGUUGUCAUUUAAGGGAGAAUAUUAUAAAUAUUUAUGGUAGUUUGUGGGUAUCAUGUUUGUACUAUUACUAUAUUGGUAUUACCCUUGGCCUAUAAAUAAGAGUUAUGAGUUAGUAAAGAGAGACCGAAUAACUAAGUUAUUUUCUUUUCGUUUUCUCCUUUAAUCUUUAUGUUUAUUUCAUAACAAAUAAGAUUUUAUUUAUUUUUUAAUUUUACUUAAACCUUAAUACAUUAUUAAUACUUAAUGGUAAGCGCUACUUUUUGGGUAAUAAUAUUUAAUUACCAUUAAUUUUAACUUAAAAUUUUUUUAAAUCUUUUCCCUAUUUUAUCAUCCUAAAUAUUUUUUCUACAAGUGUACUCUUCACAAUUUAACUAUCCGACAAGGAAGUUCAAAAUCAUUAAAAAAGAAAAACAAGUCAUACAUCCAAAGAAAAUGAGAAUAUUUGACAAAGAUUCUAUAUUUAUAUCAAUGUUAUACUCUAUUAUAUUAAGUGAAUUAAGUUGGAGAAUCUGGGUAUCACAAUUCUUUAGAUUGAAGACAUGGAUAUGCAUAAAUACUAUUUAUUUAUAGACGAUAUAAAAUAUAAAGACACUUAUAAGUAUGAAAUACGUAGUUUUAUAUGUUAAAAAGCUAAGUUUGUGUCAAGGGAAACAUCAUUUUCUUGCUUUAACAUAGUGUAACACACUUCGGAUGGAAUUUUUAUAUAAAGGUUUUUUUUUUUUUUUUGGGUUCAAUUUUUAACUCAAAUUGAUAAGAUGGCUUGCAGCCUAGACCUAGCCAACCCCCUUCACCAUACAAUACAUGCUGCUUCUUAUUAUAACAACAAUAUGUGCUAGGGUUUUACACAUUAUUCAACUUCAAUAUUAGUAACAACAAACCCCAGCUAGCUAUAAUCUUCAUUGUAGGAAACCAUCACCACCCCAAGUUAACCCCAUUUACAGUAUUAAUCCACAUGUUUCACCAUUUUCGUUGACACAUGAACACUAUGGAGAAACCCUACCCCUAGUCUCCAACUCCAUGACAUUAAUACAUGCAGAGUUAAUCAGCUUCUCAGCUCGCUUUUUAUACUAGAUUUAUAUCCUUCAGCAUAAUGCCUUGGCAAGGUAAGGUCUUGCUGCACUUGAAUAUUGUGGUCAUUUUUGUUGCACUCAUGCCUGUGAUGUUCCUGUAGACUAUAUUUCUUAUUUGGACAGCUGAGUUCUGCAAGCCAUAGGAUGGAGAAUAGUUGUGUUGAAGGCAGACAAAUGAAGGCUUGUGAUUGAGUUUGAAUUGAUGAUUAGGGUUUACCUGUUCCUUUCAUGGAGUUUCUUGAUCACAGUAGUUUUGGUCUAUGAUUAUGGGGUUCUUCACAUUUUCCAUCUUAAUGUUCUGAAAUACUAUGUUGUCAACAUUCCUUGAUCCCCUGAUCCUCCCUACAUCAUAACAAAGCAAAAAAAAAUGAAAAAAAAAAAGAAAAAAAAGAAAAAAAAGGGUUUUCGAGCUAUUAAAAUAUAAAUAAAAUGAUAGAAUUUUCAAAUUAGUUGCAUCUACAACAAAUACAAUUAUAUAUGUGAAUUCAUGUAUGUAAAAAUAUAUUUAACAGAAAUAUGGUGUAAAUUCUCUUGUUUUGAUACAUAUUUACUUUGCAUAUAAAAACUUCAAGAAAGAACCUUCAUUUUUUUUGUUUGGUCUCACACAUUUGUAUGUGUACAUGUGUUUGUUUGCCCCAUAUGACUAAGUUAUAUAGGAUGCCUAAGAAAGGAUGACUGAAGUCUUUAUUCUCACUCCAAUGGUGGUUCCUAUGAGUUUUGCCUAAUCCACCAACACAUUUGAAACCUGGGCUUCUGAAUUUCCUCCUCCUAAGAUCCCAACGCUGGAAAUGAAAAUCAUGAGAAGUGGGUAAGGGAAAGGUAAUUGAAUGUGUAGUGCCAGCGAAAGCUUUGAUGCAAACAAUGUUAGUUCAAGAACACAAAGAUAAAACAAUCACACAUACGGUACACGAGGUUUUAACGUGGUUCGGCCAACCAUGCCUACAUCCACGGAUGAGAGAGAAUAAUUUCACUAUACAAUAGAGAAUAUUACAGAGGAUAAAACCAGAUACAACUAUUGGGUUUGAUUACUACUCAAAAAGUGCUAUUUUGUAGCUUGUAAUUAAUCCUUUUAAAUACUUUUGAGUAGUAGUUAUUGCCUUUUAACUCAAUUAACAUGUUAAGGACCCUUGCAAUCAUUUCUAAUCAAAUUGUGUAAGUUUUGGUGUUUUUGAUAGCUUUUUGAUCACCAAAGCAAUCCGAGAUUGAGGGAGAGUUGUAUAUAGUUCAUGGCAAAGCUUUUGGAAGCUCAAAUUCAUGAAGAACCAAGCUUUGGAGCUCCAUAGCCCUUUGCCAAAGUCGUUCAAAGUAUGCAAGGAGAGAGGAAAAACAGAGUGAAGGAAAACAGAGGACAGCAGCUGCAGUCUUCUUUCGCACUUUUGGAGCACUUCCCGAAGUCCAUUUUCUACAUUCUAUAUACCAUUUCAAAGCUCAGGAAGUCAAGAAUCCAACGCUUCAAACCGUGUACGAUUUGGAGCUGAAAUGAGGAAGUUAUAGCCUUUGGAAGAUGACUGCUCUAAGCUGAAGGAAGGAUUCAGCAAAGUGUUGCGAAAUCAGCCUUUUGUUGCGAGAAUUUCGCAGCCUUUUUGUACAGUGCUUUGGAUUUCCCCUGAAGUUUCACGCCGCGAUGGAAGCCAAACACCACAAGAUGAAAGCCAACUUCGUAGAGGUGUGGAAUCAGCCUUUUGCUGCAAAGAAAUUUCGCAGACCUCCUUGUGCACCUGCGAAAUUUCGCAGACACCAUUUUCUCUUGCGAAAUGGUCCCUAAAGCUUCCCGAUAUUUGCGACCGACACUUUUGGAUAUUUUUCUUCAGAUAUUUUUGUAUAAAUUUCCAUUUUCUCCUUGUAUUCAGCCACUCAUGUAAUUCCUUAGCUAGGAAGUAUCUAAGGAAGGGUAAAUUACCUUCCUAUAUAAACUCCCUUGCAUCCACUGUAAUCAUAUAUGUAAUCCAUAUCGAUCAAUAUAUAGAAUAUACAGAGCCUUGCUCUGUUUUUCCUUCUCUUUCAUUUUUCAUUUCUUUUUCUUUCUAGCCAACCAAACUCUGAGAAUUUUUCCUCAGAGGAUGAGAGGCUAAGCUUUUUGUCUCUUGGAGUAAGGUAAGCCGGGUAAGUUUCCACAUGCAUAAUUUGGAAGUUUUGUUGUUUUAGUUUUUAAUGAAGAGAAAGUGUGACCCGUUAAUGGUUUUUAUCUUUUUAGUUAACUUAAAACGCCUUUAAAUCACCUGGGCCAACACUUGGUAAGGCAAGUGAUCUCUGUCCAUGGAGAUGCACUAGUUUACCCCUUUCGAGCCUCUGGGAGGUGACUUGAAGGUAGGAUUUUCUAGAAUAGCCAACACUUGGUAAGCUUUUGGACUCCUAGGAGACAUCCAUUAGUUAUCUCUUGCGAGCUUUUGACGGGUAAUCCAAGGUUAAAGAUCACCUUGAAUGGCAAGUGCUAGGUGAGAGGUAUGAGCCAUUGCAAGGUGCAUCAGUGAGAGGGAUUUAGUGUUUGAACCCAUUAAUGGGAAGCAUCUGUACAACACCGGUUGGAGAAGGAACUAUAUGUUAAUUCUCUAAUGCGAGGAAAAGAAACAAGUGACCGAAACUCCCUUUUUGUAUGAGGAAUCUGAGCCUAGUGAUCUGAAAUUCCAAGAAACAUUUUUCUUUGUAAGUAAAAUCAGUUACUAUUUUUGGUUAGUUUAAAACCGAACUUUUUCCAUUUAAACAAGUUUAUGUUUUCUUUUAAAGUUAACCUUGAAAUGAAAAGGCACCAAUUCAACUUUGAAUUAAUAUCAUUUGUGAAGUGAAAACCCAUUCCAGUGAACGAUCCUAGAGCCACUAUGCUAUAGUAGCUUUGUCUUUGCUACCCUAGUAUAUGGUGUAAUAGGUUAUAAAUUUUGUUGAUUACUCCCUCAAUCAAGGAGCACCAGCUGGACACGAAUCAGUUGAGACACCAAGUGGGCACGAAUCAAAUGGCGCCGUUGCAGGGGAUCGAACCCCGAAUCAAAUGGUGCCAUUGCCACUGCCGCUGCUAGGGACGAAUCAGGGUUCCCGAAACAUCCCAUGUUUCCCCACUCCUUGUAUCCAUACCUUACUACGAGCCCUCUCGCUCCACCAGGUACCUCCCGUUCUUCCUCACAUCUCUAUCCACCUCGUAUAGUCUCUAUAGGCUCAUCUCCAUCUCAUAACUUUUUCCCCUCAUGACCUAGAAUAUUUAUAGAGAUAUUUCCAACAACCUUCCUUAUUCUAUAAGGAAGUCUAAUAUUACAAUAAUAUAUCAACCUAGAAAUAUUCUAUAUAAUAUUCUUUACAAAAAAGGAAUCUAUACUAAUUAGGAAUUUGGGACACUUCCUAACAGAAUGUGAACCAUACUUAUCAAAAUAUUCUUCAAAAAUAUAUAGAAGAUUCUAGGGUUUUACUUGCUUUUUAAUUUUUUUUUUCUCAAUCAAACUUAUGCACAAACUAUCCUGGGAUAUGCAUGAUUGGAUGUAAUACAAAAAUAUCUAUGUUUUUCUGAAAGAAAAAAACAGACAUGACGUGUUAUUUUAUCCAUCGAAUUUUAUUUUAGUCUUCAUCGGACGUCUUCCAAGUUUAAAGGUUUGAAAAAUGCUCUUGAAAUAUAUUAACUUGCAAUUGUUGAAUUAUUGUUUUAGAUAAAUCUAUCAACUAGACUUUUAGAGCAUAAAUGUCUUCAAUUUUAUAGGAAAAAAGAGAAAGAGAAGGGAAAGGUUAGGGUUAAGGUUUGAUGAGUAUAGUUGGAAAGGGAAAAAAUGAGGAUAGUAAUUUUGUUUUGUUCAUAAUUAUUUCAUUUGAAAAGGAAAUCCGCGGGUUAAGAAGGGAGAACCUAGAAAGAACCCUAGAAAGAUAAUGUUAGAAUUUUAGAACUAUUUGGUUAGAGAGAUUAAUUUGACCCAUAUAUUUUAUGAAUAAAUAAUGGAAUUUGUUUUUGCUUGCCCUCCUUGGAAGCAGUUGAGUAUAGUGUUGGUUCAAGUUGAGAUAUUGAACCUGAUUCCAUGACCUGGUCCGCAGGUUACAUCUAUGGCUUCAACGUUUUUGGACCCAUUUACAAUGGAAAUGCAGUCGUCACCUUCAACCAAAAAAACAAAAGCAUGUAAGUCUCAUGAAAAAUCAGAACUCCCCAUAAUUCAACUUUUUUUUUUCUCAUGGUUUACCUGUUGUGAUAACAGAUUCAAUGAUCUGAACAUUUUCUGAGCUGGUCGCAUGAAUUCCUCAGUGUUGGGGCUCGUCUGUGGUGAAGUCGUCACGAUCUUAAAAGCUUCAACAUUCACAGAUUGCUCAAUACUAACAUGCAUUUCCUGGGCAUUCUGUACUUUUGAGGCCAUUCACUUUCAAGUUGUCGCAUUGAAUGAAGGAUACCGCCUGUAAACCAAAGGUGUUCCAUAAAAAGGGAUGUCUCCAUCUUAUAUAACGGGGAAACCCCUGUAAAAUAAUACUCUUGAAAUAAGAAAAAAAAAAUUAUUAUCUUUGUAGGAGCUAUUGAUUUAUCAAUAAUGAAUAUUUAUUAAUUUUGAAAAAGUGUAUUUGCAUGUUCAUCUUAGUAUUUUAUGCUAUGUAAAGCUUCACAAGAUGAAGAUUCAGGAUCAAUGGACUCACCGUUGGUGCCUCGGUACAAGGCUGCAUAUGUAAAAGUACUAGUGGUUAGUCCUUAAUUAAUGACAAAUAGACUUCAAUGCAAAGAAUUUUUCAUACUUGAGUUUUGUUGAUUUUGUAUGAGUUUUUUCACCAUAUCAUUCCAUUGCCAUCUAUGGUUCCUUCACCUUCUACUUGGAAGUUUUUUAUGUUGUAGAACAAGGGCCAAUGGCUCCUAUCGUGCGCAUAGUCUGAAGGAUCAUCAGAAGCCUCGAUUGUUCCCAAGAUCUAGUAUGUUUAAGCAUGAAAGAAUUUGAGUUUUUGGGUGAUGGAAGUACAAAAUUUGAUCAUACUUUACAUAUAAUUAACUAAUUAACUCACCUUCAACGUUACCGAAUCAGAUUUGCAGGGGCCUGAAAAUGUAAUUGGCUUAACAUGAUACUUCUUAACCUUAGGGACAACAAGCACAGCUGUGUUUGAAGAAGAAGUCUCCUCCCAAGCUUUCUUGAAUACCUAAAAACCCCAAGAAAAUGGAUCAUAAGUCAAUCAAACAGUUGAAAAAAUUACUUCAAUUACUGUCUCCAUUGUUGAUGGUACCUUAUCAUCUGUUUCUCCAUCACCUUCAGAUCCAAAAUUCUCAACGUUCACCUCUCCCAGUGAAGUUGCAGGAGUACCCAGAUGAUCGUACCUCAGGGAAUCUACGAUUUCAGCCUCAUUACCUAUUUUAUCUCCUGCACAUUGAUUCGUGCCCAAUUGGUGUCUCAGCUGAUUUGUGUUCAGCUGGUGCUCCUUGAUUGAGGAAGUGAUCAACAAAAUUUAUACCUAUAACACCAUACACUAGGGUAGCAAAUACAAAGCUACUAUAGUAUAGUGGCUCUAGGAUCGUUCACUGGGAAUGAUGAACAAGCAAUCAAGGAUACCAAUUCCAAGUGAAUUGGUCUUGUUUCAUUUCACGGUUAGCUUAAGAAAUAAAACACAAACUUUGAUUGGUAAAGGUUGAGACUUAAACUAACUAACUUAACAGAAGUUUGGAAUAAUUUAGGAAGAAAAGCAUUCCUUGGAGAUUUAGGUUCACUGGGGUGGUUCCUCAUGCAAAAGACAUAGCUCCGGUCAGACGGUUCAUUUCCUCACAUUAGAGAUUCAACUUAAAGUCAAUUCUCUAACCGGUGAUGUACAGAGACUCCUUCAAUUAGAUUUCACUUUAAUUCUCUCACUGAUACAACUUGCAAUGGUUCAUGCCUCUCACGAGCACUUACCAUUCAAGGUGAUCUUUAACCUUGGACUUCCCUUCACAAACUCGCAAGAGAUAACUAAUGGAUGUCUCCUAGGAGUCCAAAAGCUUACCAAGUGUUGGUAAUUCCAGAAAAUCCUACCUUGAAGUCACCUACCAGAGGCUCGCAAGGGGUAAACUAGUGCAUUUCCGCGGUUGGAAAUCACUUGCCUUACCAAGUGUUGGCCCAGGUGACUCCAAGGUGUUUUAAGUUAACUAAAAACAUUGAAAUCACUAAAGGAUUUCACUUCCUCUUCAUUACUAGCUAAAACCACAGAGCUUGCUUUCUUGCACUUGGAACCUUCCCCGGCAACCUUAGCUCCAAGGAAUUGGAGGUUUAGUUACUCAUUCUCUGGGGAAAACUCCUCAGAGAAUUCAUAACUUAGAAAUAAAAUGAAAAUACAAAGUGAGAAGGUAAGGCAGUAGAAAGAAAAGACCUUUACUUCCUUAACCAAAUGUUUUCAGAAGGAACUCUUCUCUGAGAACAGGCUCUCGAGAGGUAUUUAUAUCAAAGCAAUAUAAAACUAAUUGUUACAAAGAUAUUUAGUCUUUUUACUAACUUAAAAAACUAAGGAAUCAUGUAAUUGGUGGUUUACAAGGAGUAUUUUGGGAUUUAGACAACAAAAAUCUAAUGGAAAAUAUCUCCCAAUGUCGGUAGCAAGCUUCAGGAGGCUUCAGGAGCCAUUUCGCAGGGGUAAAAUGAUGUCUGCGAAAUUUCGCAGACACCCAAGAGGGCUGCGAAAUAUUUUCGCAACACCAAGCUAUCUUCACCAGGCUGCAAAGUUGGCUUCCACCUUGAGGUUUCCAGCUCCCUUCUCGCGGCAUGGUUCGUGCAUCGUCAGAAGGAGAAACACCUUACUGUACAAAAGUGCUGCGAAAUUCUCGCAACAAAAGGCUGAUUCCGCAACACUUUAGAGUGAUUGACUUGUAAUGGCUGCAACUUCUUCGUUUCAACUCCGAAUCGCGCACUGUUUGAAGCAUUGGAUUGUUGACUUCAUGAGCUUUGAAAUGGUAUAUAGCUUGCAUCAUUUGGACUUCAGAAAGUGCUCCAAAAGUGGCUGCUACGACUGUCAUCAAGAAUAGGCUUCAUGGCAGAUUCUCUUUGCUUUUUCUCCUUGCAAUCCGGAUUCAUUCUUGGCAAGUGAAUUCUAAGCUUUUCCCAAGAUUCCUCAUAGCUCUCCUCAUUCUUGACUUGCUUUGGUGAUCAAUAUACUAUCAAAAACACCAAAACUUGCACAAAGUGAUCAAAAUUGCUUUAAAGGAUCCUUAACAUGCCAAUUGAGUUAAAAGGCCUAAACUACUACUCAAAAGUGAUAAAAAAGGAUUAAUUAAAGGCUAUCAAAUAGCACUUUUUGAGUAGUAAUCACACAUAUUUAUCACUAUCACAUAACUAAUAGAACCAUUCUCGUCACAAUCAACUUGGUAGUCAGCACCAAACGCCAAAAAUAUGGAUCCUAACCCAACCAAAUGAGAUAAGUUUGAUUGAAAAUGUUACUGCAUUAAACGGUUUAUUUUAAGUUGAUAAUUUUAUUUCAUUCAUUCUGACUUAAGAUUAAUGACAACCCGACUCUUGGUAGCUUGGCAUGUAAGGGUAUCAACAAAAUUUAUACCUAAGGUCCUUACACUAAAGUAGCAAAGCUACUAUAGCAUAGUGGCUCUAGGAUCGAACACUGGGAAGGGUUUUUACUUUAACUGGUGAAGUUCGGAGGAUGGAGUGAACUUUUCUUAAUAAAAAUUAGGUUAAGAUGAAAACAUAAAAAGAUGAAGGUGUUGUACUAAACUAACAUGAAAAUAGGUUAAAAGAUGGAAAAAUAAGUUUCUCAAAGCUUUGGAUAGCCAUGCUUAACUCACGGUGUAAAAAUGGAGAUUUUGGAACUUUUCACCUCGAGUUGGGGAAGCAACUAAGGUGAUGCUUACUUCCCGAACCGGUAUGUGUUUAACAACUGAGUUUUAGUCCUUCAAAACUUACAAAAAGGGUAGCUGAACCUCAUAAAUGCUCUUUUAAUGAUAUAGGUCAUCUCCUCGACUUGCAAUACAAUGGCUCGUAGGAGAUAACUAAUGAACGUCAGUGGAUCUAACAAUAAGAAUCCACUGAGACCAAAAGGUUAUCAAGUAUUGGCCAUUCAAAGCAGUCAGAGGGAUUAAAAGCUUUACUUUGAUGAAAACAUUUAUGAUGCUCACUACUUACNNNNNNNNNNNNNNNNNNNNNNNNNNNNNNNNNNNNNNNNNNNNNNNNNNNNNNNNNNNNNNNNNNNNNNNNNNNNNNNNNNNNNNNNNNNNNNNNNNNNAAAAGACAAAAAUUCAAUUUCUCCCUUUUCAUUUUUGAGAAUUUUUCCUUAAUAACCAUGGGGAGUAGAGAAAAAAAACUUAAAAAAUUUAAAAAUUAAGCGAAAAGCAACUAAAUUACCAAAAUAACUUAGCAUUAUUAACAAUACUUACUUCCUCAACUCUCCCCCCAACCAAGCUGAACAUUGUCCUCAAUGUGACAAAAGCGAUUGAAAAAUAGGGAGGAAGUGAUACCUCCUGAGUGACAUGGAGUUUGAGUCGUAUAGGAGAAACCACAUGUUUCAAAGAAAACAUAAGAGUUAAUGAGUAGAGGAAAUAGAAAAAUGCUAAGUUUAAACAAAAAUGAUGUCUAUAUAUGAUGUAUCAUCAGUAAUACAUCCAAUCCCAGAAUAUAAGACAUCAAAAUAUGAAAUUAUUUACACUAAUAUAAUAUGUAAAUACAAAAAAUAAAAAGAUGAUCAAGUAGUGGUAGGGUCAUGUGGAGCUGAUGCGUCUGUGGUGGCCUCUUGAAUGGGUUGGAUCAGGACUUUGGCCUCUAUUCUGGUAGUCUCCUUGGGUAGCAUAGUCUCCUCAGCUGAAGCUAUGGGCUUUGAUGGUUUAAGGAGGUCAGAAAUAGAGUGAGAGGCUUUGUGUGUGAUCUCAGUGAAAGGGCUCUCCUCUUUAGAUGCAUGGUUGCGGGGCUCUCUUUGCAUUUUCACAACUUCCCUUGGCUUUGCAAAGUGUUUUCGCAAACCUCUCUUCAUUUUGCAAGUCAUUUUUAUAGCCUGGAGGUCAUUUUGUAUCUUGGAGAUCAUCUUGCAGCCAAAGGAAAAAAAAGAAAAACAUUUUCGCAGCCCAUGGAAAAAAUAGAAACAUUUUCGCAGCCCAUUUUGAAGCUUGAAAAUCAUUUCAUAGCCAUUUGGAAGCUUGGAGAUUAUUUCAUAGCCAUUUGGAAGUUUGAAAAUCAUUUGGUAGCAAAAGGCCAUUUUCGCAGCACAUGGAGGAUUUGGCAGGGGGUAGCUAUGGGGCUGCGAAAUCAUUUCGCAGCCAAAUGGAGUUUUCGCAGCCGGGUGCCAUUUUCGCAGCCCAUUUCGCAGCUGCGAAAUAGGGUUGGGCGGCUGCGAAAUGGCACUCGUGUGCCAAAGGGGUGUUUCGCAGCUGCGAAACACCCUGCGAAAUGGGGCCUUGGCUGCGAAAUUUCCGUUGGUGCUUUGCAUGUUCAUCUUCAAACGGCCAUAACUUCUUCGUUUCAAAUCCAAAUCAUGUACCGUUUGAAGCGCUGGAAUCUUGACUUCCUAAGCUUUAAAACAAGAUAUAGUAUGAAAAAUUUGAGCUCCAGGAAGUGCUCCAAAAUGUGUCCAACAGUUGCGAAAUGCAACAUUUCCGUUCAUGGUGUGCACAAUCAUCUUAAAACGGCCAUAACUUCUUCGUUUCAACCCCAAAUUGAGCACCGUUUGAAGCUAUGGACUCCUGACUUCCCAAGCUUUGAAACGAGAUAUGGUAUGAAUAAAAUGAACUUUGGGAAGUGAUAUAAUUGUGUCCAACAGGGGUGCGGCUGCAACAUUUCCUUCAUGGUGUGUGCGCUGAAGGAUUUUAAGGCAUGGAGGAUUUCGCAACCAUUUCGCAGCUGCGAAAUGAGUGUAUGGGGCUUCCAAAUGGCACUCGUGUGCCAAAGGGUGGUUUCGCAGCUGCGAAACACCCUGCGAAAUGGGGCUUUAGCUGCGAAAAUUGGAGAUUUCACACUUUGGGGAUUUCGCAACCAUUUCGCAGCUGCGAAAUGGGGGUACUGUGCUGCGAAAUGGCACUCGUGUGCCAAAGGAGUGUUUCGCAGCUGCGAAAAUUUUCGCAGAGGGGGGGUGUGGGGCUGCGAAAUUAUUUCGCAGCAAAGUGGCGAUUUCGCAGCGAAGUGGCGAUUUCGCAACGAACUUGUUGGGGCUGCGAAAUGGUUUCGCAGCAAAGGGCCGAUUUCGCAGAGGCUUUUUUUAGGCUGCGAAAUUUCGCAGACCCCUGUUUUUCCCCUGUUUUUACACUUUUUCUUGCUCCAAACAACUUUCCUUCAAUUUCUUUGCAAUUCCUCCUGAUUUUGAUCAUCCAAAAACCUAUAUUACAUCAAAACAAAUUAGAAUUAAAGCAUUGAAAUCAAAAUUAAAACAAGUAAUAAAUAAAACAAAAAGAUAUGGACUAUCUAGUCUUUAAAAAGACUAAGUCCAUCAAAAAAUUUGAUCAUGAUUUAGCUUGCCCGGAUCCCAUAUGAAGUUUGCAUCCCUCACUUGAGACUUUCUCUGUAUGAUUUUGGCAUACAAAGCUUGGAGGAAAAGUGGAGGCAUGUGUUUCUUCAUCUCUUCCUUGAUGACUAUCCUCUGUGAUUCUCCUUCUACAUUAAAAUCAUAGUCAUCUUUCUCUAUACUUUUCCCCUUUUUCUUUCCUUUGAUUUCCUCCCUCUUUUCUUUCUCUGCUUCACUUUCUACCUUAUGCUCUAGCUUGCAUGUGGGUAGAUCAACCUCUUUACCACUCAAAGUGAUAACCGUUUUAACUUCCUUCACCAUUGAAGAUUCUCCCUCCUUAGCCUCCAUUUCAUGGAUACUCUUGGAAUUUUGAUAAUGUUGAGAAGGAAAGUUUUCUUUCUCUUGCACUUUGUUGAGGUUGGCAAACCUUGAGAUUGAAUAUUGGAGAUUAUCUAUCUUCUGAGAUAGAUCACUUUGCACUUCAUCCAUCCUUUUAUUCAAUGAACUCUCUACACUAUCAAUUCUUUGACUGAGAUGAGCAUUGAUGGAUUUUUUAGCUCCAACAAAGUCUCCCACGACCUUGCUAAGAUUCAUCAUAGCUUGUUCAAGGUUUGAGGCUUGCUGUGGUGCUUGAGCAGGUUGCUGAUACUGAGGUGGUUGUGGUUCCCAAGAGAAAUUUGGAUGGUCCCUCCAAUUGGAAUUGUAGGUGUUGCAAUCACCAAACAUUUCCCUCACGGCUGGAAUGGUAGGACACUCAUCCACCAAGUGCUCAUAAGAUAGACAAAUGGCACAAGACAUAGCUUGCAAUGGUGUUUGAGAGAUGGCUUGCACUUCUUGCAUCUUCUUCAUUUCUAGCUCUUCCAAUCUCCUUGCCAUAGCUGCAAUCUUUACCUUCAUGUCUAUGCCGUCAUUCAAAAUAUACAUCUCACCCUUAGCAUUAGGUUGAGACGUCAUUCUUCCCAUAUCUCGAGCAUUUGGUUCAUCCCAUCCUCUUGAAACUUCAGCCACAUAACUCAUGAAGUUCAUGGCUUCCUUUGCUAUCUCGUAUUCAACAUGACAUGCACAACUAGCAAUUUGUGAAUUAAAAACAGAGAAAACAAAAGAAAAUAAAAGAAAAAUAAUUCAAAUAAAAAAAAAUUAAGGUAAACUAAAAACUAAAUAAAAGGUAUACUAAGAUAUGAACAAAGAAAAAGAAACAAAUAAAAAGAGUUAGUAAAAGGAAAAGAAAAGUCACCAAACUUGUGAUGAAGAUCACAAGUACUCUGAAAAUGUCAUAUCACUGUAAAGUGGCACCAUCCCCGGCAACGGCGCCAUUUGACAACCCGACUCUUGGUAGCUUGGCAUGUAAGGGUAUCAACAAAAUUUAUACCUAAGGUCCUUACACUAAAGUAGCAAAGCUACUAUAGCAUAGUGGCUCUAGGAUCGAACACUGGGAAGGGUUUUUACUUUAACUGGUGAAGUUCGGAGGAUGGAGUGAACUUUUCUUAAUAAAAAUUAGGUUAAGAUGAAAACAUAAAAAGAUGAAGGUGUUGUACUAAACUAACAUGAAAAUAGGUUAAAAGAUGGAAAAAUAAGUUUCUCAAAGCUUUGGAUAGCCAUGCUUAACUCACGGUGUAAAAAUGGAGAUUUUGGAACUUUUCACCUCGAGUUGGGGAAGCAACUAAGGUGAUGCUUACUUCCCGAACCGGUAUGUGUUUAACAACUGAGUUUUAGUCCUUCAAAACUUACAAAAAGGGUAGCUGAACCUCAUAAAUGCUCUUUUAAUGAUAUAGGUCAUCUCCUCGACUUGCAAUACAAUGGCUCGUAGGAGAUAACUAAUGAACGUCAGUGGAUCUAACAAUAAGAAUCCACUGAGACCAAAAGGUUAUCAAGUAUUGGCCAUUCAAAGCAAGUCAGAGGGAUUAAAAGCUUUACUUUGAAUGAAAACAUUUAUGAUGCUCAACUACUUACAUUUAUGGCUUGGAAAUCUCCAUCCUGACACGGGAGCUUCACAUGGCAUCCAUUACUUCAAGAAACUAAAAGGUUUUAGCCUCUCAUCCUUGGGGAUUUCAUCCUCCAAGGAUGUUUGGCUACUAAGAAAAUAGAAAAUAGUAGAGAGAAAAAGAAAGCAAAAGAUAUUAUGUAUUUAGCUAAGUGUAAAAUUUUACAAAAGAUGGUCUCCUCAGGAAAGUUCCCCGACGACGGGCCUAUAAAAUGAAAAUUACAAAACAAUAUAUAACAGGUUGUUUACCCCUGUAUUCUUGCUUAACAACUAAGGAAUCAUCUAAUUGGUGGAUUACAAGGAGAGAAUUGGGAUUUAGACAACAAAUAUCUGAAGCAAAAUAUCCAAAAACGUUGGUCGCAAAUAUCUGGAAGCACUCAGGAGAAUUUCGCAGGCGCACAAAAUGGCUGCGAAAUUUCGCAGCCGAAGGCUGAUUUCGCAGCCAAAGGCUGAUUUCGCAGCCCUGCGAAAUUGGCCUUCAGCUUGGAGUGAUCUGCUUCCAUUGGCUCUAACUUCUUCAUUUCAACUCUGAUUUGUGAACCGUUUGAAGCAUUGGAUUGUUGACUUCCCGAUCUUCGAAACGACAUAAAGCAUGCAUAAAUUGGACUUUAGGAAGUACUCCAAAAGUGGCUGAAAUUACUGUCAUCAAGGAUGCUUCAAGGUAGAUUCUCUCUUUACUUCUCCUCCUUGCAUUCCGGAUUGGUUAUGGCAAAGGACUUUAAGGCUUCAAAGCUCUAAUUCUUCAUGUUUCUGAGCUUUCCAUUGCUUUGCCAUGGAUUCCAAAUAACUCUCCUCCAUCUUGGAUUGCCUUGGUGAUCAAAUUACUAACAAAAACACCAAAACUUACACAAAGUGAUUAGAAGUGAUUGCAAAGGUCCUUAAUAUGUUAAUUGGGUUAAAAGGCAAUAAUUACUACUCAAAAGUGUUUAAAAGAGUUAAUUACAAGCUAUCAAAUAGCCCUUUUUGAGUAGUAAUCAAUUAAUUUAAAAAAACUGCACAUCCACUUAAGCAUUUCUUGAAUCACCCGAGCGCUCUUUUGGGUGCUUGAGCAUUUGAAGCUAUUUGUCUCCACUUUGUAAUUCCCAAUUAAUUUUAAUUAUUUCAAUAUUUUAAAAGUUGUUUUUGGAAAAUUUAGGAUUUCAUCCAUUGGGGAUUUUUCCCUAUAAAUACCAUGUCAUAAAGGUUUUUCCUCUUCAAUGAAAACUUUGAGAAAACAAGAGUAAUAGCCUUCCCUCGUACCAAAUAUUCUAAAGUUUAAUUUUCCCAUUCUCUAGGUUCAUGAGAGAGAUCUACAUCAUCUCAAGCAUUAAAGUUGUCCACUGGGUGCGAGAUUGGUAUUUUAGCACAUACGGGAAAACUAAUAUAAGUAUUAGGAAGUAAGACUUAGGGAUGGUAUCCACCAUGUAAAUUUGUAUGCUUUCCUUUCAAUAGUGGAUAUAUGCUCUAUAGUCUUUGAUCUCACAGCUUUUACAUCCACAUAAUACUCUUUGGAAGACCUUGUGGGUGGUUUUCCAUGUAAAAUUUUUUGUAUCUUGUACGAUUGUUCUUUUCUUCCUACUCUCUAAUUAUUAAAGAGGAAUUAAAAAUAAAAAUUGGGCUAAAAGAAGUUAAUACUUAUUCACCCACCCCAAAUAUUUCAAAAUCAAAAUCUACAAACUUCCAAUUGGUAUUAGAGAAGGAAAUAUUUUAGAAAUCAUUUUUUUAUCCUGCUAUAAGGAGCGAAUGAGACUACAAACAUGAAAAGGAAAAGUUGUGUUUGUGAAGCCCGUAGGUUGUUCCAUGUAGAUUGUUUCCUUGAGAUCAACAUGUAAAAAGUCCGCUUUAAUAUUUAGUUGUUUUAAAUUUAUGAUUGGACAAAAUGUUUGAUCAAAGUUGAUGCAAGGAACUUGUGUGAAGCCCUUGGCAAUGAGAUGAGCCUUGUGUUUAUCAAUCAUUCCAUCUUUCUUAUAUUUAAUUCGAUAGACAACUUAUAACUUUGACAUUUGGAGGUCCCAAUACAAGGGUCCUAAGUGUUAUUUUUCUUGAGUGCUUGUAGUUCUUCCUUUGUCGUAGAAAACCGUUGUGGUAUUUUGACAGCAAUUCUAAGUCUUUUUGGUUUAAAUGGUGGGUGGGUAAAUGGCUAAUGCCUUUUUUUUUCCUUUUUUCUUUUUCUUCUUCCUUUUUAUCAUUAAUGAAGCCAAACCUUGGGAACUAGAGUUUAAUGCCUUCUUUUAAAGAAAGAGAGAGACAGAGGGGUGAACACUAGAGUUAAUAUACUUUCAUAUAAUUUUUACAAAUUAGGAAUAUACAUAAUGUGUAUAUUCUAAAAUGCAAUUUAACUCAUCAAUUAAAAAAAAUAGAAUUACUUAGGGCCUGUUAGGUCGUUGUUUUUGAAAACUGUUCUGGAAAACAGUUUUUAAGAAUAAUUUUUAGUAUUUUUAGAAACAAAAUUGUGUUUGAGAAUUGGAUUCUAGAAAACAGUUUUUGUUCUAAAAACAAAAACAUGUUUGGUUGAGUUAAUAAAUUUUUUUUUUUAGAACAAGUAAAAUAAAAAACAUAUUUAAAGGUUUUUUUUCUUCAAUUAACUUGAUAUCCUAAGUAUAUAAAUAAUUUUUAAAUUCACAUUUGAUUAAAAUUAAAAAAAUUAUUCUCAAAUUUAUUUACACCAAUUAUAAUUUUUGUUAACUUUUAGUAGAUAAAUAUGAACAUGGAAUAUGAUAGAGAUAAAUAAGGUAAAAAACUAAUAAAAUAAAAAAUAAUUCAAAUAUAAAUAUAAUUUUUAUACCAUCUAAAAAUAAUUAUUGAUUUCCUAAUGCAAUUUAAAAUAUUAUAAGAUAAAAAAAAUUACAUAAUAUAAUAAAUUAAAAAUAAUUCAAAUGAAAUUUAAUCUAUUUACCAUAUAACUAUAUGUUAGAAGUUGAUCAACAUAUAAAUGUAUCUUAUACAUGCAAACCAUGUUAUUAUUUAUUAAAUAUGAUAUUGCAUAUAAAUUACCGAAUAUUAAAUUUGAUGUUGCAUAUAAAUUAUAAAAUUUACAAGUUUUUUUAUAAUGUAUAAAUUAUCAAUUACUAAAUAUUACUUUACCAAAUAUUAAAUCUGAUGCAACAUAUAAAUUACCAAAUAUAACUUUGCAACUAUUAAAUUUGAUAUUUAUUAAAUUUGAUGUUGCAUUAUAAAUGAUAAAAUUACAAGUUUACUAAAUAUGGAUCUCCCUAUCCCAACAACCACCAGCAAAUCCCCAAACCCAAAGCUCUCCUCCAAAUCUCAAUCAUAGUUGAGGGUUGUCAGAGUUGGAGAAGGAAUCUUAUGUUCAGUCCCGGCGUCGGCGAUGAUGAGUCACCAUCCACUGACAUUGAAGCUCCCACGGUUCGUCAAUUGUAGUGAGGUAAGGGAGCCCUCAUCCCCUCAUCUCUCAUCUUAAUAGACUUUGAAGGAGGUAACGGUUGGGUUAAACAGGAAUAGUUUUUCUUCUUCUUCUUUAAUCUUCAUGGUGGACAAGAUUGAUGGUUUGAAAUUGGGAUUUGAGAAUCUCAUAAUCGAACUCAUCAUACCUGGCAUCGGACUUGGUGCGAUCAGUGUCGAGGCGGGUAGGACUCGGUUGAGUCGUAUCGGACUCAACUGAUAUUUUGAAUCCUGUCACCAUUGCUUUCCACCCUAUUGUCACGCAGCGUCGCUCACAGCAUCUCCACAUGUGGCCUUGCCCUUUAAAGCACCGCACGGUUGUUGAUGCCUUUCACACCCACAACCAUUCACUCACGCCAAGACCACCAUAGUCAGCCAACAUGGUUGCCAUCUUCAUCCUCCAUGACCUUCAUUUCUUAUUGUUGAAGGAGAAACCACAUGUAGAGAAACAUAAUGAUUUGUCCCCAUUGCAGUCAUGCCAUUUGAUUCUGGCUCAAACGAGUGUUAUGAACAAAAUUUAUAAAACCUAAAUCACCUUACACUAGGGUAGCAUAGCUAACAUAGUAUAGUGACUUUAUGAUCGUCCAUAAGGAUGAGUUUUCAUCGUACAAUUGACAUUAGUGAAGGAAAUAAAAGGGUGUUUUUCCUUAUGAAAAUGAGCUUUUAAAGAAAAUGGAAUUGUGGUUGCAAAAAUUGAUUUUAAGUUAAGCAAAAACAAUAAGUGAAGUUAACUAUAAAGAAAAGGUCUCUUGGAGCUUUAGGUCACUAGGAUUGGGUUCCUUAGACAAAAGGGGAGAUUCCAGAUCUUUUCCUCGCGUUGGGGAUAAUAACAUAAAGGAUGGUUAUCUCCCGAACCGGUUUUAUAUUUAACAAUUAAGAUUUGAUCCAAAGGGUUCAUGGAAAUUGAUAGUUGCUUCCCAUUAAUGGCUUUAAACACUAAAUACUCUCACCUUGAACCACCUUCCAAUGACUCGUAAAUGAUAACUAAUAAACAUCCAUGGAUCUAGCAAUAAACAUCCAUGGAAUCUGAAAAGCUUACCAAGUAUUGGCCAUUGAAGGUGAUUUUAAGGGAUUUAAAGCUAAACCUUAAAAUCAAAACCAUUAAUGGUUAACAACUACUUUCAUUUAAAGCAAGGACAACUCACACCUUUGCAUUCAGGUCCUUUACCUAACUUCCAUCACUCCAAGAAACGUAAAACCUAGCCACUCAUCCCCUGAGAAAUCAUCCUUAGAGGUUGUUUGGCUAGGAAGAAAAGUGAAAACAAAAUGAGAAGGAAAGGCAAAGCAAAAAGCUCUCUGUAUUUCUUACUACGGGAAUUUACAAGUGUUCAAUGAAAAACAUCUGUCUGUCUCCCUCUCUCCUUACAAAAGAUGUUACCCAAAAGAUAUAAAAAGAUAUAAAAGAAAAUAUCUAGGUUGAUUACAAGGAGAAAAUAGGAAAUUACACAAAAUAUUUGGAGAUAAAAAUCUAACGGAGUUGGUGCACAAGAGGAUUUCGCAUGGUAUGCAAAAUUUCGCAUGGUGUGCGAAAUUCUUUGGCUACUUCUUGUGGUUUGGCAUGGUGUGCGAAAUUUUCUUUCACUCAGUCUUGCUUUUAGUACUGCAGCUGCUUCUCCUCUUGAUUUUGCGUGCUAUGCGAAAUUUUUGCAUAGCCAUGCGAAAAUGCUGGUUGUUGGAUUUCUUCUUCUAGUUUUCUUCCUUGCAUCUCUGAUUGGCUUGACAACCUAUUGCCAAGCUUGGAAAAGGGCUAUGAAGUGCUCCAAAGCUUGGAUUCUUCAUGUAUUUGAGCUUUAACUUGCAUUGCCAUGGAUUUCACAAAAUUCUCCCUCAUUCUUGGCUUGUUUCAAUGAUCAAAUAGCUACCAAAAACACCAAAACUUGCCAAAACUGAUUAGUAACCCUUGCUAGGUUCCUUAAUGUGCCAAUUGAGUAAAAAGGUAUUAACUACUAUUCAAAAGUGUUUAAAACAGUUAGUUUGAAGCUAUAAAAGAGUACUUUUUUAGUACUAAUCACAUAAAAAAACAGGAGAAGAAAGCACAAAGAAUAACUCUUCCUUGAACAGUGAAGAAAACAACCAAAACAAUUUUUUUUAUUCUCUGAAAAUAGGUCUCUCGAGAACAUGGAAAACACCAAAAACAAAAAUCACCCUCUUUCCCAAACACGUUUUCAGUGUUUUUUGUUUUCAAGAACAGAAAAUAGUUCUUGAAAACAACAACAAAAUAGGCCCUUGCUCUUUACCUUGUUGCAUGGGUUCCGGUAUAGUGAGUAUAUGCGUUAGUGUUCAAUCCUUCAUACUUUCAAAUUUUAAAGAACAAAGACUAGGCUUAAAAAGGCAUAACCUAACCAAAAAAAAAAAAAAAGUCUAUUUUUUCCCUAUUUUAUCCCUAAAUAUUUUUUCUACAAGUCUACUCCUUAUAGUUUAACCAUCUGACAAGGAAGUCCAAAAUUAUUAAAAAAAAAAGUCAUACAUCCAAAGAAAAUAAGAAUAUUUGAUCACAAGGAUUCUAUGUUUAUAUCAAUGCUAGACUUUGUCAUGUUGAGUGAAUUAAUUUAGAGAAUAUGGUUAUCACAAUUCUUUACAUUGAAGACAUAGCUAUAAAUAAUACGAAGAUAUAAAAUAUUAAAACACUCAUAAAUAACCUGAAUUUUAUAUGAAAUACGUAGUUUUAUACAUCUAAAAGCUAAGCUUGUAUACCAAAGUAAUAAACUAAUUAGAUGAAAACGUCAUUUUCUUGCUUUAACAUAGUGUAAUACACUUCUGAAGGAAUUUUCCAUUUUAUAUUAAAAUGUCAUUUUUAUUUUUCAUACAAAGUAAUAAGAUGGCUUGGAGCCUAGACCUAGCCAACCCCCCUCACCAUAUGAUACAUGCUACUUGUAAUUAUAACAACAUUGUAUUCUAGGGUUUUAUACAUCAUUCAACUUCAAUAUGAGUAACAACAAACCCUAGCCAUAAUCUUCAUUGUAGGAAACCAUCACCAAAUCCUCUCAAGUUAUCCCUAUUUAUAGUAUAUAAUCCACAUGAUAUCACCAUUUUAUCGCAUGAACACUAGGGAGAAACCCUACCCCAAAUCUCCAACUUCAUGGCAUUAAUACAUGCAGAGUUACUUGGCUUCUCAGUUCGCUUUGUAUACUUGGUUUAUAUCCUGCAGCACAAUGCCUUGGCAAGGGAAGGUCUUGCUGCAGUUGAAUAUUGUGGUCCUUUCUGUUGCACUUGUGCCUGUGAUAUUUUUGUAGACUAUGUUUUUUAUUU